GAGCCACUGCCACGCUGUUACUGGUGGUACUGGGAGCUGCUGCCACGACGGUACUGGUGUUACUGGGAGCACUGGGAGCCGCUGCCGUGAUGGUACUGGGAGCACUGGGAGCCGCAGCACGGGUGCCACUGGUCAAACUGGGAGCAGCGCUGCUCAUACUGGGAGCACUGGUCAAACUGGUCGUACUGGUGACACUGGGAACCGCAGCACCGGUCAAACUGGUUGAACUGGGAGCCGCAGCACCGGUCAAACUGGUUGAACUGGGAGCCGCAGCACUGGUCAAACUGGUUGAACUGGGAGCCGCAGCACUGGUCAGACUGGUUGAACUGGGAGCCGCCGCACUGGUCACACUGGUGACACUGGGAGCCGCAGCACUGGUCAAACUGGUUGUACUGGUGACACUGGGAGCUGUAGCAGUGGUUGAACUGGUCAAACUGGGAGCCGCAGCACUGCUCAAACUGGUUGUACUGGGAACUGUAGCACCGGUCAAACUGGUCGUACUGGUCAAACUGGUAGCCACGGCACCGGUCAAACUGGUCGAACUGGGAGUCGCAGCACUGGUCAAGCUGGUUGAACUGGUGACACUGGGAGCCGCCGCACCGGUCAAACUGGUCAAACUGGGAGCUGCCACACUGGUGAAACUGGUGACACUGGUGACACUGGGAGCCGCCGCACUGGUCAAACUGGUUGUACUGGUCAAACUGGGAGCCGCUGCACUGGUCAAACUGGGAGCCGCCGCACCGGUCAAACUGGUCACACUGGUCGCACUGGUGACACUGGGAGCCGCAGCACUGGUCAAACUGGGAGCCACAGCACUGGUCAAACUGGUCGAACUGGUGACACUGGGAGCUGCAGCACUGGUCAAACUGGGAGCCGCCGCACUGGUCAAACUGGUCACACUGGUCGCACUGGUGACACCCGGACUGGUCCCGCCGGUGGCUUUAGGGACAAUCCCAGCACCGACCCUCCCCGGACUGGUCGUACUGGUCAAACUGGGAGCGCUGGGAGCCGCGCCGGCGGCGGCUCUGGUGACGAUGACGCCGCCGCCCAAACUGGGAGCGCCGGUGGCCUUACUGGUGGCACUGGUCAUACUGGUGAUGCCGGUCGUGCUGGUUAUACUGGUGAUACUGGUGAUGCCGGUCAUGCUGGUCAUACUGGUGAUACUGGUGAUGCCGGUGGCUCCGGCGGCCCUGGCCAUGGCCGUGGCCUUGGCGUUGGCGUCGGCGCUGGCGCGCAGGAUGGCGGC
rnacentral:lncRNA from 1 species